GACGAACGCUGGCGGCGUGCUUAACACAUUCAAGUCGAACGGAAAUGCCCUUCUUUUUUGGUAUGCUCGAGUGGCUAACGGGUUAUUAACACGUGAGUAACCUGCCCUUUACUUUGGUAUAACUUCAGGAAACUGGGGCUAAUACCGGAUAGGAGCUCCUGCUGCAUGGUGGGGGUUGGAAAGUUUCGGCGGUUGGGGAUGGACUCGCGGCUUAUCAGCUUGUUGGUGGGGUAGUGGCUUACCAAGGCUUUCAAGGGUAGCCGGCCUGAGAGGGUGACCGGAGAGAUUGGGAAUGAGAUACGAGCCAGACUGCUACGGGAGGCAGGAGGGGGGAAUAGGGGACAAGGGGCGGAAGCCGGAUGAAGCAACGCCGCGUGCGGGAGGACGGCCUGCGGGUUUUAAACCGCUUUCGCCUGUGACGAAGCGUGAGUGACGGUAAUGGGUAAAGAAGCACCGGCUAACUACGUG
rnacentral:rRNA from 1 species